CGCGUGUCCGAGCAUGCUCCGUAAUAUCUUCUGAAGCCGCUCUCCUCCGUUGCCUACGUCACUCGGAAGGUCCAAGCUGCGGCGGGGCGGGGGUCGGGACGGCCACGGGCCGUGUGUGCAGGGGCCUCAGAGCGGGCAGAGGGUGCGCGAGCCACGGUUCAAGGGGCAGAUACGCCGCCACGCAGCCGGGGGGGCAGAGGCGUAACACUUACUGGAGAUGGGCUGGGCAGAAUUGGCAUAUAUAGACUAAGAUAAGAUGUUUCCAAAAGCACCAAGGUCUCUGCGUAAUCCCUGAAGGCUCCUUAUGCGUUUCCUGAGCAUGCUACCCAGUAUGGGGGUUUCUUUGCAUGUUCCCUAAUGAAGAGCUCAGUGGACAGAACUGCUGGUCCAGUAUUGCCACAGUUGAUUCCAGCUGUACGUUCAGCACAAACCAAAGUGAGGCUUGCAGUCUGAUGGCUUCACAGUGCUGUUUGUAUACAACCUGACAUGAAAGUCUGGAUCCGAUUAAAAUAUCUCUCCUGCCUCCUUC